rnacentral:lncRNA from 1 species
CUGAGACAGCAAGACUAUCCCUCCUCUUCCUCCUCCUCCUCCUCAGCCUACUCAACGUGAAGGCGAUGAGAAUGAGGAUGAAGACCUUUAUGAUGAUCCACUUCCACUUAAUGAAUAGUAAAUAUAUUUUCUCUUCCUUAUGAUUUUCUUAAUAACAUUUUCUUUUCUCUAGCUUACUAUAUUGUAAGAAUGUAGUAUAUAAUAUGUAUAACAUACAAAAUGUGUGCUAAUUGACUGUUUAUCUUAUUGGCAAUGUUACAGGAAAGGGGUCCAGGUCCAGAUCCCAAGAGAGGGUUCUUGGAUCUUGCAAGAAAGAACUCAGGGCAAGUCCGCAGUACAAAGCAAAAGCAACUUUAUUAAGAAAGUAAAGUGGUGAAAGUAGGGUGAUAUGGUUUGGCUGUGUCCCCACCCAAAUCUCACCUUGCAUUCCCACAUGUUGUAGGAGGGACCCAGUGGAAGGUGACUGAAUCAUGGAGGCAAGUCUUUGCCGUGCUGUUCUCCUGAUAGUGAAUAAGACUCACAAGAUCUGAUGGUUUUAAAAAGAAGAGUUUCCUUGCACAAGCUCAUCCUCUCUUUGCCUGCUGCCAACCACAUAAGAUGUGAUUUGCUCCUUCCUGCCUUCUGCCAUGAUUGUGAGGCUUCUCCAGCCACAUGGAACUGUAAAUCCAAUUAAACAUCUUUCUUUUGUAAAUUGCCCAGCCUUGGGUAUGUCUUUAUCAACAGCAUGAAAUCGGACUAAUAUACAGCUACUUCAUAGACAGAGUAGGGGGUUUCCGAAAGUAAGAGGAGGAAGGCGUCCACCUUAAGUAAAAUGCUCCUAUGUAUAGGAUAAAAAAAGAUUAUGGGGAGAUGUGCUCUGCUAAGAGUUUGUGAUAAAGGAUUAAUUUUCUUAAUUACUUUAUUUUGCAAGAAUUGAUAUUGUCUUUAAAGCAAAAUUAGGAAUGCUUUUGUUCUCAAGAUAUCAGGAUAUUAGGACACUCCCAAGUCUAGGUCUGUUUAGUAAACAUUAUCAAUCUGUUCCCUUAACUGUAAACACCUCGAGGCUAGGAAUACCUAACUUUCUGGGAAUGCAGCCACGCAAGUCUCAGCAUCAUUUUCUUAGCCCUCACUCAAGAUGAAGUCGCUCUGGUUUGAACGCCUCUGACAGCAAGUCUUCCAGUCACCAUUAGACUAUUAGUAGUUAAGUUUUGUGACGGAGUCUGGAUCCAUCGCCCAGGCUGUAUUGCAGUGGCGGAUCUCUGCUCACUGCAACCUCCGCCUCCCGGGUUCAAGCAAUUCUCCUGCCUCAGCCUCCCGAGUAGCUGGGAUUACAGGCGCCUGCCACCACGCCAUGCUAAUUUUUGUAUUUUUAGUAGAGAUGGGGUUUCACCAUGUUGGCCAGGCUGGUCUCGAACUCCAGACCUCAAGUGAUCUGCCCACCUCAGCCUCCCAAAGCGCUGGGAUUACAGGCAUGAGUCACCACGCCCAGCCAACCUAGUUGUUUCUCUCCCUCUAUCCACCUCACUUCCACUGACUACAUUUAAGUACACUAGCCAAGGAAAUUGGAGAAAUAAAGUCUCCUCACAAGGAAGUUCAGGUUUAACUUAGAACAAGUGGUGGCAGAAUAAAGUUAAUUUUGUUGUUUCUGGUUUUCUUUUUUUAAUUGAUGGAUUUCUGCUUCUUUCUUUAUUGCUUUCUUCCUUCUACCUAUUCAGAUUUACUAUGAUCUUACCUAGUUUAUAAGUUUACUGUUUAGUUAGUUUCUUUAGACUUUUUUUAAACAAAUGCAUUUAAGACUAUACAUUUACCUUUACAUACUACUUUAGGUGUAUCUCACAUUUUAAAAAAAUGUAAUGCUUUGUGGUAGUUCUCCUAAAUGUUUUGUUUUUUUAAUUAAACAUGAACUACUUAGGAGUGUGUUUUGGGGUUUCUAAACCUAUAUUUUUUAAAAGUAUCUAAUAUUGUAGUCAGAGAAUGUGUUUAUGUAAUAGCUAUUCUCUGAAAUUUACUGAAAUUGUGACAUAUACAUGAUCAGUUUUUGUAAACAUUCUUUGUGUACUCAAACCUAUAAAUAUUUUCUAUUUAAAGGAUGCAGACCGAUAGAUCUAUCUUCUUUAGAGAGAGAGAGAAUUAGACAGUCUGGCUAAUUCUGUUUCUUAAAGCUUCAAAAAGGAUUUUUAAAGUUAUUGUGCUUUGUCUGUUGGCUUCUGAUAGAAAUAUAUUAACAUUUCACACUGUAAUUAUAGUUUUGUUAAUUUUUUUCCUAAUAAUAUUGUCAGGAUUUAUUUUAUAUAUUUUAAAGCUAAGUGGUUAGGGUAAUCAUGUUCAUGAUUAUUAUAUCUUCUUGGUAGAUUUUCCUUUUAUUUUUAUGUAGUAUCUCUAUUUAUCCUUAUUAACACAUUUUGGGUUAAAUUGUACUUUGCUUGAUAUAACUAUUUCUAGGCAAGUUUCUUUAGACUAACAUUUUCAUACUUAGCUUUUUCCAUCCAUUUACUUUAAGCUAUUAUCACUUGUCAGGAGGAUUUGGCUAGCAUCUGUUUAUGUUUUUAUCUAAGCUAAUAAUAUUUUUCCAAAGACUAUUCUUUCAAUUUACUUGUAUUAUAAUUAUGAUAUUUUAAAAUUUAUAACUACCAUUUUAUUUUGUGGGUUUUUUUGGCAUAUAUACUAUCAAUAUUUUUAACACAGUCUAUAAUUAUUUAGUAUUCCUGUACUCCUUUUAAACAUACCUCAGACCUUAGAAUUUUUUAACUACUAUUUACUUAAAUUCUUGUAAUACGAUUGCUUCUAAUGUUAUUAAUAAUAACCAACACUUAUGUGGCCUUUAUUAUGUUCCAGGGACUUUUGAAGUGUUUCACAUACAUUGACUCAGUUACUCCUUACAAUGACCCUGUGAGGUCUCUACUGUUACUAUCUCCUUUUACAAAUGAGGAAACUGAGAUAAGGAGGUCAAAGUGACUUAACCAAGGCCAUAGAAUUAGUAGCAAGUGGUGGACCAAAAUUUGGAUAAAAAAACUUUAAAACUUUAUGGGGGAAACAUAGAAUAACAAUUUUAAUAUUGGAGUAUAAUAAGAUUUAGGUAAUAAGAGAGAAAAAAGGAGAAACCACAAAGUAAAAGCUUGAUAAAUCAGACUUUAUUACAAUUUAAAAUGUGUAUUAGACAAAUGGCACCUAAAGAAAGUUUCAAGGUCAAGCAGUGAACUGGGAAAGUUAUAAGCCGCACCCUUGAAAGAUAAAGGAGAGUUUUCCAGUCUAUAUAAAGAAUUACCCAUCAAUAAGAAAAGGACAAGCAACCCCACCCUACCCAACUCUGCCCACCCCAACUAAAGAGCAAAAAGUGUGAAAAUGCAAUUGACUAACAAGGAAAUCAGAAUGAUCAACACACUCAAUCCCCCAGGCAAUUGGAGAAAGGCUUGUGAAAACUAGGAGAUGUAAGAUUGCAGAAGGAGGUGAUAUGUUUCCCUGCAACUGACAGCACCACCCACAGACACGCUCCAGCAGCUCUUACGCACGGUGGAGUCAGGCAGCCUGUGGAUAAACUAGCUUGUUCAGACCUAGAGGAUUGGCACAUCUAACUGGGACAUUGAAUAGCAAGGAAUAUGAAUGACGUGGAGCCACAGAUGCAGGCAACAGUGCAAUGGAAUCUGGAAGCACAGACAUGCAGCACAGAAGGUGAUGUGAAUCUGUCCUGUCUGCAAGAUCCAGAUUGUGUCACUGGUGUUUGAAUGAAUUUGUGUGUAUGUAGCAGUCAGCCAACAUACUCUCCGCAGUGACGUCUGUAGGGAAAUACAAGACUUGUUUGUGUCUGUGGGGUAGCAUAGACUACCGCUGCUGUUUGAUUGAGGGACAUUCAGGGAGACUUUAUGUGUUUCCACUGAAUAUUUUUUUUAAGGAGCUGGAGGUUGAAAAGCUAUGACAACAACAACAAAAAAAUUGCUAAUAAGAUUCCAUUUGAAGCUGAGUCAUUAUUUCUGCCAAUCAUUCACUCCCUUCUAAGUAAAAUAAACUUCCAGACAUGGAAUCAUGUAAUCUGGAGUUGGAAAGGAACUUCGAUGUCAUCAAGAAUUAUUUCUCACUAAUUGGAAGAAUCACAGAAAAUCUGAACAUAUAAUUAUCUUUCUCAAUCUCUCCUCUCUUUUUAUUUUCCUGCUUAGUUUCCCUCUCUCUCUCUCUCUCUCACACACACACACACACACACACACACACAUUUCUCUGCCCCUCUGUAAUGUGUUUCACUAACUGUUUCUACUUUAACCAGCUUAAAUAACAAAAAGAAACAUUUUGCUCUUUUUUUGCAUUUAAUAGUUCUUCAAAUAUCAUGGCAUUUGGAUUUAUUUUCUUCUGGCUAAAAUACUUCCCUUUAUAGCUUGGUUUCAUGACUUUGCCAUCUCAAUCAGUUUUCUCUAGAUACACCCUAGUGAGAGAAGGACAUCUUUAUUUAAUGGAUGUUAUUUUAAGAUAUUUAGAGAUUUAACACAAAAAUUGUAUUGAUACUAAAAGUGACUAUCAGUUACAACUACCCUAUUAAAUCAAACUGAGAUUCUGUAGGUCUUCAGUCAUGUCUGAACUCAAACUCGGUUCCUCCUCUUGUAUCUCAUGAAGCAUGAAGGACUCAUCUAUUUGUGACACCUGGUAGUCCAGGUAGAGAGAUACCUUCUUGGUCUUCAACUUAGAAUCUGUCUAUGAUGACCAGGCCAUAGUUUCAUGCUAGUGGUCCCUUAUCAAUGCUAAUGUUGAGAAUGUUAAUAGUGUUAGCCAUUUCCUUUAGGUACUGCAUAACAUGGAAGAUGAGCGAGACACAAUCGUGCUUCAAAUAACUUACCAUUUAUUUUAGACGGAAGGCAAAGAAAUAAACAGAGUACAUAGUUGUAAUAAGGCAAAAUCAAAAGCUGCAAACCAUGGAAUUAUCUUAAAUGUUUUACUUUUUUUUCAGAGUUUGUUUUUGAGUAUAUAUUGUAGUCCAUAUCUGCUGUUUAUCUCUCACAAGGGUACAAAAUGCUCUUUAAAACCAUUUACACCUAAAAAUACAUUUCAGAUGUAUCACUGUCAUGGAGUUAGUCUAUUGGUAUGAUAAAUACUUCAGUUGACUUUGCAUGGGUAGGAAAAGAGCUAAUUGUCAAAAAGCAAAUCACCAGGCAAUGGAAUUUUACUCCCUGAAACACAAGAUCCUUAAAAUUAUGCUGUUUGAGAGGAAUUCCUCCUCAAACAUAUUCUAUAUUCAUCUGACUUCAUAAAUAGAUGAACUGAGCAUAAUUUAACCUUUCGUUGAUGACUCAUUGUCAACAUUCUCAUACAUUUUUUAGAGAUGGAGUCUCAUUUUGUCACCCAGGCUGGAGUGCAGCAGUAUGAUCAUGGCUCACCACAGCCUCGAACCCUGGGCUCAAGCAAUCCUCCUGCCUCAGCCUCCUGAGUAGCUGGGACUACAGGGGUAGGCCACCAUGCCAGGCUAAUUUUUGUAUUUUUUUUGUAGAGACAGAGUUUUGCUACAUUGCUCAGGCUGAUCUCUCCUCUUGGGCUCAAGUGAUCUGCCAGCCUUGGCCUCCUGAAGUGCUGGGAUUAUAGGCAUGAGCCACCAUGCCCGGCCCAAUAUCAACAUUCUGAACAUCAGCCUUUGUACUGAGUGAUAAUACAGCAACGCUGUCAAGGCCCACUGGGAGAACAAAGAGAGGUGGAUCCCAGGAGGCAGCCAGGGGAUGCAAGGAGCCAACAUGCCAUCAGAGAGGGGUGAAGAGAUAAGGUCCCAAGGAAAGCUAUUGGAAAGCUUUCUACCAAAAGGGAGAUCAAGGACCACAGAGCACAUCCUGAAAGACAAGUCAUCCUCAGUGAGUGCCUUAUCAAGCUUAUUACUUCAUGGUGACAAGAGGGCUGCACUUGAUCCAACAUCAAUUUUGGAUUCCAGUAAGCAAGAAGAAGAAGACAAAUGAGAAAAAGAUAUAAGCCAGUUGAUUUUUCAGCAAACCUUCCAAGAGCAAAGGGGACACUUUCCCUUCACCCCUGCAGAAGACGUCUCCGAGGAAGUGAAACAUUGGUGGAUAUAUGAUAGAAAUCAUCAUGGUAAAGAAAGUAUUACAGUAAGACUGAAAACCAACCAUUUUGCCCAAGGGACAGACCCUCAGCUGUGACUCUGCACCUGAUCUCUGUGGCUUUGCUGAAAUGUAGCUUUAACCCUGGAGUACCCUAAAGGUGAGCACCAGCGCGAUGGAGAGGUGAGAGCACAGACUUUGGCUGUUGGCCUCAGUUUCUUCCUCUGCAGUUUGGUGUGAAGCUCAGAGAUGGUGCAUGGAGCCCCCAGAGAUAGUAGCUGGCACCUGGAGACCCAUGCCCUGCUUGGGCCACACCUCUGCUGGUGCAGGGAAACCUGGGCAACCCGAGGUGGACAGACCAGUUCUACUGGAAGCUGGUCCCCAUCACCUGUACUUUUCCCACAAAAGACUCCCUUCCUUAUCCCCUUCCUCACUCACCCACAAAAGAACCCUUUCCUUAUCCAUGACCUGUACUUUACCCACAAGAAACCCCCUUCCUUACCCACUCCCUUCCUUACUCAAUCUGGCAGGGCUCAGAUUGCAAUAAAGAAGGGUCAGUAAUCCACAAAUCCAAAUAUUCAGUUUCCUGGCAGACGUAGAAUCAUUCAUAUUCUUGAAUCAAAAGGAUCUGUUCACGAUUAGAAAAAAAAAUUCAUCUAACUGCGUUUUUCAUUAAUAGAAACUGCAUAUAGAAAUCCUCUAGAACAACAUCAUACACCAUGGAGUUGACAAUUCAUCAUGCUCUAUUCUAGGCUCGGCUUCAGCAUAUUUGAAAUCAGCUAGGAGGCUUCUGUUGAUACAAAAUACAGUAUUUGUAGACUGAUCUAGUCCUGCAGCAGGUGGUAAAGAAGUAUGAACUGAAACUGCCAUAUGGCGGUGUGAAGGAAAUGUUUCUCUCCAGAGAAAUACUUGAAAGUGUCAUAAAAACAGUAAAAACAUUUAACAGCUCAAAAGGCUUAAAUUCAGUAUGUACAGAAACUGUGUCAACUUUGGAGUCAGGCUGCUUUCAUUAAAAUCUCAGCAGAUAGAUGAUAACUUUCACUCGCGUCCAUGUGAAGAGACCACUAAACAGGCUUUGUGUGAGCAAUAAAGCUUUUAAUCACCUGGGUGUGGGUGGGGUGAGUCCGAAAAGAGAGUCAACGAAGGGAGAUAGGGGUGGGUCCAUUUUAUAAGAUUUGGGUAGGUAAAGGAAAAUUAUAGUCAAAGGGGGGGUUGUUCUCUGGCGGGCAGGAGUAGGGGUCACAAGAUGCUCAGUAGGGGAGCUUUUGAGCCAGGAUGAGCCAGGAGAAGGAAUUUCACAAGAUAAUGUCAUCAGUUAAGGCAGGAACAGGCCAUUUUCACUUCGUUUGUGGUGGAAUGUCAUCAGUUAAGGCAGGAACCGGCCAUCUGGAUGUGUAUGUGCAGGUCACAGGGGAUAUGAUGGCUUAGCUUGGGCUCAGAGGCCUGACAAUACCCAGGCAGAUAAGUAAUGUGACUUUGUGCAAGUGACUUAAACUCUGGAGCUUUGGUUUCCUCAUAGAAAAGAGGGAAUAGACCCUUGGGAUUAUAGUGAAAAUGAAAAGAAAUAGUGUAUAUACAGCAACUAGCCUAGUCUCUGGUCUAUGUGGAAAACGCUUGAUAAGAUUAUCAUUGUCAUGAUUGUUUUUAUAUUAUGAAUACAUUUGUUGUGUUACAUAUAAUUCACGUCUACCUUCUGUGAAAGUAUGUAUAGGCAUACAGAUGGAGAUGGUAAGAGAAAAGAGGAAGAGAAAGAAUCAGAAAAAUAUACGCCUGAUUCACCCUCCCAAUCCUGCUACUCAAACCUUUUAUUCUAUGCCCAGUCUUCCCCAUCUCCAUAAAUGGAAUACCAUCCACCCAGUUGCUCAAGCCAAAUAUUUCAGAGUCAAUGUAAAUAUUUCCCUUUCCCUUACUGGCUGGCCACUGUCUAUCUAAUUUCAGUCAUUAUAAUCUCAUCAUCAUCUCUCCCUGGAUUUUAUAUUUUUAUUUAGCUUCGUCUUCCUAAAUCUUCUCCCUGCUUUCAUUCAGAGUCCCCUCUAACCACACAAAACCAGAACUUCCUUCUUAAAAUAGAAAUUAGAUCACAUCUCUCUUCCCAACUGGAAACCCUUCGGUGACUUCUCAUUGUACUUCAAGUAAGAUGCAAACACCUUUCCAGGGCCUCCAAACCCCUGCACAAUUGGGUUCCCAAUACUCCCUAACACCACCUCCUACACCCUCCCUGACUAUAUUUCAGUCCCUUGAACAAGCCAAGCUCCUUUCCACCUCACAGCCUGUGCACAAAUUGUUCUCUCUGCCUGGAACACUCUUCCAUUUUGGCAUAAAUGUCUGAUUCCUUUCUGACCUUCAAGCCAGAAUUUCAAGGUCAAUUGCUCAGAGAGGCCUUCCCAGUACACCAACUGAAGCAGAUGACCUCCUCACCUCAGUCAUUCUCUAGAUCCACAUUGUGUCUUAACAGCACAUAAAAUAACUUGUAUUUUAUUAGUUUUUCAUUUUUUUCGUGUGUCUGUCUCUCCCAAAGGUUGUAAAUAACUUGAAGGCUGGGGCCAUAUCUGUCUUUUCCAUUUUUUCACUUGCAGUGCUCAAUACAAUGCACUGUGCUGGGCAUAGAGAAGAUGUUCAGUAAAUAUUUGAUGUAAGAAAUUGGGUCAUUGGAUAAAACAAUCUUGUAAAUUUCCAUCGUUAAAAUGCCCUAGAUAUAUAAUAAUUUAUUUUCACUCAUUACUGAAAAGUCAGAGAUGAAAAAAGACAACACAUUUUUGUAUGUUUAUAUGUAUGCUUAAAGGGUUAGAAGUAUUUGAUCUUUUAUGGAUCAAUUGUUGAAGAAUUAUCUGUUGCCUAGAAAGAGGUCAUGUGAAAGAGGCAAAUGUAAAUGCAGGAAUUUUGCUCAUUGCAGUUAAUUGACACUUUCAGGGCCAAUGGAUCACAUGAGUCACUUUUUAAAAAUCUUUCUCCUAUUUUAGAGGAUACAGUGGUUUGAAACCAACAUUACAGCAGCAUGUUUCAUAGGACUUGUUCUUUAUUGAUCAUGGGCAAAGAUUAAUUUCAAGUAUGUAAUUGUCAUCUGAGGGCCUGACUUCUCAUGGGCCCCAGCUGCUUUUUUUCUGUAUAAUUUAGAUUAGAAGUUGACUGCAGUGAAUGCCAUGCUGUAUCUCUCAGAUCCCCCUCUUUGGAACUGAGGCCCUCAACCCCCAGCAGCUAGAGCACUGUUGAAGAGAGCUAAGGUCUUGUCCCAGCUCAGGGGAUGGUCCGUAUUCAAGAGCUGCCCUGGGCAUGUUGGGGGUGGAGGAAAUCCAGCCUCUUGCAUAAGGUGACAGCACAAAUCCAAAGGGCCAUUCCAGCUCCGGAGAUCUGUUGGACAAUUAAGGCCUAUGUUGCAUUUACAUUGACUGCAUUGGGUUCAGCUCCUGCCUCUAUCCAAUCCUACUUUCUUUACUUCCCUACAGAUGUUGUUCCCAAGAUCACUGCCAGUAAUAUUCCUGCAGCCAGAUCUCCAUCUUAAGGUGGAAAAGAUAAUGUCUCUAAUAUGGUCUGGCUGUGUCCCCAUGUAAAUCUCAUCUUGAAUUGUAGUUUCCAUAAUUCCUAUGUAUUAGUAUUAUGGGAGGGACCCAGUGGGAGAUAAUUGAAUCAUGGGGGUGGUUUUCCCCAUACUGUUCUCAUGGUAGUGAAUACGUCUCACAAGAUCUGAUGGUUUUAUAAGGGGUUUCCCCUUUCUGUUGGCUCUCAUUUCUCUCUUUCCUGUUGCCAUGUAAGAUGUCCCUUGCUCUUGAUUGUGAGGCCUCCCCAGCCAUGGGGAACUGUGAGUCCAUUAAACCUCUUUUUCUUUAUAAAUUAUACAAUCUCAGGUAUGUCUUUAUCAGCAGCAUGAAAACAGACUAAUACAGUCUCCUUCUUAAGACAUUGAUUAAAGUGAUUUGGUGCCACUUUUUUUCUACCAUUCCCCUUUUCCUUGGCUUGAAAGGAGUCCUUUGGGGAAAGGGUGAACAAGGGAGUCUACUGUCCAGCUCUCCCCUAACCAUAGGUGGCAGUUUUGAAAAUGUGGAUGGCACAGUCUCCUGCUGACCCAUCUUGAAACCGAAACUAUCAUCUAUCUCCUUUCUACACUCCAUGGCUUCUUCCCAGUACAGAUAAAAAGGUAAGACGGACCACUUCAUUCUAAUUAAUUAGGAAGAGACUAAUCAUAGAUACAUACUUUGAUAUAAUUACAGUUGCCCUCCUGACUGUGGUUUUGCACUCCAAAGCUUCCCCAUGGUCAACUUCAGUGCAAGAAUACUACAUAUAGUAACAUACGUUGAGAGCGAGACAGAGAUCACAUGCACUUGACUUUUGUUACAGUAUGUUGCUAUAAUUGUUCUAUUUUAUUAGUAGUUAUUGUUGUUUUUCUCUUACUGUGCCUAAUUUAUACAUUAAACUUUAUCAUAGGUAUGCAUAUAUAGGAAAAAUCACAGUAUAUAUAGGGUUCAGUACUAUCUGUGGUUUCAGGCAUUCACUGGGGGGUCUUGGAAUGUAUCCUCCAUGGAUAAGGUGAGACAACUGUAUUUUAAAAACAUGUGUUAUGAGCUGAAUUGGGCCCCAAUCCCCAAAAUCAGAUGUUGCCAUCCUAACUUCAGAAUGGGAUUGUAUUUGGAAAUAGAAUCUUUAAAGAGGUAAAGUUAAAAGGAGGUCAUAGAUGUGGGCCCUAAUCUAAUACAAAUUGUGUGCUUAUAAAAAGAGGAGAUUGGGACACAGCCACACACAGAGGGAAGACCAUGUGAAGACACGCAAGAGAAAAGACAGCCAUCUAGAAGCCAAAGAGAGAGGCCUUAGAAGAAACCAACCUUGCCAAACACCCUGAUCUCAGGCUUCAAACUUCCAGCACAGCACACUGCCGAUCAAAUCAUCCCUGAUGAUUGUCUCAUGGCACCAUCGUGCUUCUGCCGUCUUGUUCCUGCACCACCACAGACACUCAGGAGCUCUCAAGGGGCCUGGACUGUAUAGUGUUCUGUGGCACAACAGGCACCUCAAUCUCAUGCAAGUACAGUUAAAGAGCAUCAGAUCUGCGCUGCCCUCAUGGAAAUGCUCAGCUUCUGGUACAACAGCUGUUUAAUUGCUUCACAUACAGCCCCCUCUCCUGUCCUUGGAUUCAGUCAAGGUGCAGGGACACAUUUGAGUGACAGGUUCUGCUCUGUGCUCCAUAGUGAUGACUAAGGCUUUGUUUCUGGGUCAAGCUUGUCACGACUCAUUUUUCCCUUAGGAGAAGCUCUCUACUAGCAUAUUUCUCAGUGCCUCAUGCAAAGAGGCUUCUGGUAAGCUGUCCUGCUGGCUUUCCAAUAUGCCCGGGAGAGCUGAAUAGUCACUUCUAGGACACGCCAGGGACUUCCUGCCUCUAGUAACUCUCUCCAAGACUUCCCUUAAAUAUGUUUAUAGGGUGGGAGUUAUAGACAAAAAGUAGAGAAGAUACCAUUGCUUCUUGAGGGAGAAGUUCAAAUGCUGGCUUUAUUUUCUCUGGAUAUUCUACUUUGCUCUUGUCCCUAUUGUCUGGUCUGAGUUAGGAUAUUCAACCUUUGACUUAUUAUCACAGAUGGUUCUAGUGCCCUUACUUGUGUAAACCAAAAAGUAUCUGAGACAGGUCUAAAUCAAUUUAGAGGUCUCUUUUCCCAAGGUUAAGGGCCAUGGCCCAUGGCACAGCCUGAGGAGGUCCUGAGAGCAUGUGUCUAAGGUGGUUAAGUUACAGCAUGGUUUCAUACAUUUUAGGGAGACAGAAGUUACAGGCAAAGACAUAAAUCAAUACACGGAAGUUAUACAUUGGUUCAGCCCAGAAGGGCAGGACAUCUUGAAGGGAGGUAGGGGACAUCUUUCAGGUCAUAGGUAGAUUCAAAGAUUUCCUAAUUGGCAAUUGGUCAAAAGAGUUAAGCUCUGCCUAAAGAGUUGAAUUUGGGAAAAAAAAAAAAAAAAGGCUUGAGUAAUUUAGAUAAGGGUGACUGUGGAAGACUCUAGGUAGCAGGCUUCAGGGAAAAUAGAUGGGAAAUAUCUCUUAUCAGACUCUAAAAAAUUUCAGACUCCCCAGAAAAGACCUAGUAAGGGAAGGAUAUUCUCUACAGAACAGACAUUUCCCCCAUAAGAGAUGUUUUUGCAGAGCCCUUUCAAAGUAUGUCAAAGAAAUACAUUUUGAGGGUAAAUAUUUUGCCUGCUAUCUGUCAUAUGAUGCUAUACCAGAGUCAGAUUGGAAUUUGGUGUCCUAUUGUUACAAAAAGUCUGUUUUGUUAGUCUUAAGAUCUCUGUUUUGAUUCUAAUGUUGGUCAGUUGUUCCUGAACUCCAAAGGGCAGAGGCCAGAAUGAGGCAUGUUUUGCUCCUCCUUCCUGUCAUGGCCUGAACCAGUUUUUCAGGUUUCUUUGGGGUCCUCUUGGUCAAGAGGGGGCCCAUUUAUUCUGUUGAGGAGGCCUAGAAUUUUAUUUUAGUUUCACGCUUGUUUACUAGAGAGUGAUGACGAUACAUCCAAAAUCUGUCACCGAAGAUCUUUGUCUUUGUAGAUUUCCUGUCAGCCUAGUCUUUGUUGGAAGAUCAGCACUCUGUUCUGGCUGGCUCCUGAAUUUACUCAGUGCACCUCCUCCCUUGAUCAUGGGAGGAGUUUGAGAGCUUUUUCAGUAAAAAUAAUAGUUUCUUUCUGUGUGGAGUCCAGAUGAAAGAUAAACACUCAUGGAUGUUUUAGUUUAAAAAAUCCCAUGUCUAAUUUGAUGUGGAAAUGGAUUUUUUAAAAUGAUGUAUAUGAUGACAUUAUAUUUUGGACUGGAGAGACAGUGAUAUGGUUUGGCUGUGUUCCCACCCAAAUCUCAUCUUGAAUUAUAGCUCCCAUAAUCCCCAUGUGUCAUGGGAGGGACCCCGUGGGAGGUAAUUGAAUCAUGGGAGCGAGUUUUUCCUGUGCUGUUCUCAUGAUAUUGAGUAAGUCUCAUGAGAUCUGAUAGUUUUAGAAAGGGCAGUUUCGCUACAUAUACUCUCUUGUUUGCUCCCAUGUAAGAUGUACCUUUGCUCCUCCUUCACCUUCUGCCAUGAUUGGGAGGCCUCCCCAGCCAUGUAGAACUAACUGUGAGUCCAUUAAAUCUCUUUUUCUUUAUAAACUACCUAGUCUCAGCUAUGUCUUUAUUAGCAGCGUGAGAAUGGACUAAUGCAGUAAAUUGGUACUGGUAGAAUGGUGUGCUGGUAUAAGGAUACCCAAAAACAUGGAAGCAGCUUUGGAACUGUGUAAGGGCAAAGAUUGGAACAGUCUGGAGGGCUCAGAAGAAGACAGGAAGAUGUGGGAAAGUUUGGAACUUCCUAGAGACUUGGAGAGUUCAGAAGACAGGAAGAUGUAGGAAAGUUUGGAAUUCCUGGAGACUUGUUGAAUGGCUUUGACCAAAAUGCUGAUAGUGAUAUGGACAAUAAAGUCCAGGUUGAGGAAGUCUCAGAUGGAGAUGAGGAACCUGUUGGAAACAGCAGUAAAGGUUACUCUUGCUAUGCAAAGAGACUAGUGGCAUUUUGCCUUUGCCCCAGAGAUCUGUGGAACUUUGAACUUGAGAGAGAUGAUUUAGGGUAGCCAACAGAAGAGAUUUCUAAGCAGCAAAGCAUUGAAGAGAAAGCAGAGCACAAAAGUUUGGAAAAUUGGCAGCCUGAUGAUGUGAUAGAAAAGAAAACCCCAUUUUCUGGGAAAAAUUCAAGCAGGCUGCAGAAAUUUGCAUAAGUAACAAGCUGCAGAAUGUUAAUCACCAAGACAAUCACAGAAAUGUCUUCAGGGCAUGUCACAGACCUUCACAGCAUCUCCUUUCAUCACAGGUUCAUAGGCCUAGGAGGAAAAAAUGGUUACUUGGGCCAGGGCCUCGCUGCUGUAUGCAGCCUUAGGACUUGGUGCCCUGUGUCCCAGCCACUGCAGCCAUGGCUAAAAGGGGCCAACAUGCAGCUCAGGCCAUUGCUUCAGAGGGUGCGAGCCCUAAGCCUUUGCGGCUUACACAUGGUGCUGGGCCUGUAGGUGCACAGAAGUCAAGAAUUGAGGUUUGGGAACCUCUGCCUAGAUUUCAGAUGAUGUAUGGAAAUGCCUGGAUGUCCAGGCAGAAGUGUGCUGCGGGGCAAAGUCCUCACAGAGAACCUCUGCUAGGGAAGUGCAGAAAGGAAACGUGGGGUGGGAGCCCCCACACAGAGUCAUCACUGGGGCACUGCCUAGUGGAGCUGUGAGAAAAGAGCCACCAUCCUCCAGACCCCAGAAUGGUAGAUCCACUGACAGCUUGCACUAUGCACAUGGAAAAGCAACAGACACUCAACACCAGCCCAUGAAAGCAGCCAGGAGUGGGGGCUGUACCCUGCAAGGCCACAGGGGCAGGGCUGCCCAAGACCAUGGGAACCCACCUCUUACAUCAGCAUGACCUGGAUGUGAGACAUGAAGUCAAAGGAUAUUAUUUUGGGGCUUCACGAUUUGACUGCCCUGCCAGAUUUAGGACUUGCUUGGGGCUUGUAGCUCCCUCAUUUUGGUCAGAUUCUCCCAUUUGGAACAGAUAUAUUCCUGUAUCCUCAUUGUAUCUAGGAAGUAACUAACUUGGUUUUCAUUUUACAGGCCCAUAGAUGGAAAGGUCUUGCCUUGUCUCAGACGUGACUUAGGACUGUGGACUUUUGAGUUAAUGCUGAAAUGAGUUAAGACUUUGAGGGACUGUUGGGAAGGCAUGAUUGGUUUUGAAAUGUGAAGAUAUGAGGUUUGGGAGGGGCCAGGGUUGGAAUGAUAUGAUUUGGCUGUGUCCCCACCCAAAUAUCAUCUUGAAAUUUUAGCUCCUAUAAUCCCCACAUAUCGUGGAAGGGACCUGAUGGGAGGUAAUUGAAUCAUGGAUUUUUCCCAUGCUAUUUUUGUGAUAGCAAAUAAGUCUCAUGAGAUCUGAUGGUUUUAUAAAUGGGAGUUACCCUGCACACAGUUUCUUGCCUGCUGCCAUGUAAGAUGUACCUUUGCUCCUCCUUCACCUUCUGCCAUGGCUGUGAAGCCUCCCCAGCCAUGUGGAACUGUGAAUCCAUUAAACCUCUUUUUCCUUAUAAAUUUCCCAGUCUUGGGUAUGUCUUUAUCAGCAGUGUGAGAACAGACUAACACAGACAGUAAUGUUGUACAGGAUUGUUCAAGUGUUUGUCAUCACUGAAUCCUUCAAAUAUGUAACUUGGGAUCAUCUGCUGACCAGAAAUGACUUUGUUCAAUACAAUAUUCCUUGAGAUAAUGAUGUUUUCUAUUUUUUACUGGUAUGUAAAUGUGAAAUGCUGCUGCUAUUAAAACAAUAGUUUAGAGCUAAUGUGUAAUGAAGUUUUUGUUUGUUUGUUGGCUAAUUUUUCCAUAUGGAAAAUCAUAUGUAAAUAUAGCUUUCUAAAAGAUUUAGCAAAAGUGGAAAGCAAGAGAGGUAGAAAAGAGUUGAUUCCAUGAAUGUGAAACAAUGGCCCUUGAUUUUUCACUGUGCUGUCAUCCCAUCCAGAUGUGCAUGUGACGUGGUGUUGGAGAAUGCUCAGGGGACAGACCCAGGAGCUGCUGCCCAAGGAUUCUUUGACAGAAUCCCAAUCCGGGAUUCUUUGGAGGCUUUUUCUCUGCAGUAUACAAAUAACCCUGAGUAUUGAGCCCUUCCUGAGAUCAAAGUUAAACAUGAGAGCUAAAGGUAGAGCUAGAGGACAUAGGGAAAUGCAAACCCAGUAAAGCUCUGGGGAAAGAGGCUCGCCUAUGCACUCUGCAGAACCUCUACCUCCAGCUUCAAUGUCUGCACCCAAGAAAUACCGUGUACAAGUCUUCACACAUGAGUGCAAAUAACAUACUGAUGGCUGAAAACAAUAAAAUGAACAAGAAAAAAAUUCUCACUAAUUCAAACUGUCUGCAUUCUAUCUCUGUGGUUAUUCUAAGCUCACCUCCAUAACUUUAUGUAUUUAUGUAUUUAAGAGAUGGAGUUUCACUCUGUCACCAAGGCUGGAGUGCAGUCGUGCAAUCACAGCUCACUGCAGCCUUGAACUCUGGGCUCAAGGGAUUCUUCUUCCUCAGCCUCUUGAGCUGGGACUACAGGCAAGCCACAAUGCCCAGCCACCUACCUCAGUUUUAAAUUCUCAUUCUUCCAUUUGCAAUUCUUUUUUUUUUUUUUCAGACAGAGUCUCACUCUAUCAUCCAGGCUGGAGUGCAGUGGUACAAUCUUGGCUCACUGCAACCUUCCCGUCCCAUGUUCAAGCGAUUCUCCUGCCUCAGCUUCCUGAGUAGCUGGGACUGCAGGAGUGUGUCACCACGCUCGGCUAAUUUUUGUAUUUUUAGUAGAGACAGGGUUUUGCCAUGUUGGCCAGGCUGGUCUUGAACUCCUAACCUCAAGUGAUCCAACCACCUCGGCUUCCCAAAGUGCUGGGAUUAUAGGCAUAAGCCACCAUGCCCAGCCUCCGUUUGCAAUUAUUGUCGCUAGAGCACUUUGAAAAGAAAUCGCUGCAUGAGAGUGUGUGUGUGUGCAAUUUUUACAGAUUCCUCCAAAAAUAAAUUGUGCAAGUACAUUAUAUUUUUCAGUAGCCUAUGUCAAUUAUGGUUUCAUUUAAACUGAAUAUGUUCUAAAUUCUUGUCCACAUAAUCUGCCCUCCCAUUUUAUAUGGGACAAGGAUCACAUCAUUUCCAACUACCAUGUCUUUCUAUCACAGGCUGCUGUGCUAUGGCUGAUGCUGCAGUUCCAGAGCAGGCUCCCUGCUGUGAUUCUACUCAUGAGAUGUUUCCCAGCAGAGGAACUAGCGACAGUGCAAGAGGGGACCCCCAUUUCGUGUUUCUGUGAAGGCUGCAGAACCAGGCUUUGUAGUGGAUGCCAGCUCAUUUCCAAGCUAGAUGUCCAAUCUACUAGCUAGAUGUCAAAGGUCAUGAUGAAUCUUUGAUGCAUGACAGAGUCUGAUAGUGGAAGCUUUGUAAAAGCAAAUCUUCCUGGGUGUCAAAGGAAUUUAAGUCUGGCAAUGUGGCAAAGUUUCCCAACAUUCCAAACAGUGGCAGCAUGUUUCCAAAAACAGGUAGCACAAUCUUCUUUUUACAACAAAAAUGAAAGUUAUAGUAGGAUGUAAAUGUAUUUAAACAGCAGAGGCUGUAGAAGACAGCAUAUAAGGGAGCAGUGGUCUAUUACCCUUAACAUUGAGAGGUGGCCUCGUACAAUGGUUAAACAAGUCCUAGGUUUGAAUCUUCGCUCAACUCUGCAAAUUGCAUAAUCUCUCUGAGCUUUAAAUGUUAUUUCAAGAUGUCUAUUCAUGUAAAAUUCCUAGGAUGCUGCUUGGCACAUGGUAAUAAAAGACCCUAAUGGAGGGUAACUGGUAUAUAACAGACUUUCAGGUUUAUUUCUCUUAAAAUUAGGAGCAAAACUUUAUGGUAAAUGACAAAAACAAGCUGCUAACUGAUAAAUAAAACUGUAAUUGGGACUUUAUAUUAAAAGAAAAUUCAGACACAGUGGCUCACACCUGUAAUCCCAGCACUUUGGGAAGUUGAGGUGGAAGGAUUGCUUUAGCCUAGGAGUUUGAGACCAGCCUGGGCUAUAAAUAUACAUACACAUAUAUGUAUAAAUACAUGUACACACAUACAUUUACAUAUUUAUAUGUAAAUAUAUACAUUUGCAUAUUUGCAUAUGUAUGUUAUUUAACUUUAUAUGUACAUAUAUGUAAAUAUAUGUGUAAAUAUGUAAUAUAUGUAUAUAUAAAGUAAAAUGAUAUACAUAUAUAAAUAAAAUGAAGUAAAAUAAUACAAAUAAAUGUAGUUUAUAGCUAAUUGGACUUAGAUUAUAAUUGCUUACAAAUUCCUGCUCCAGUCCUCUCUGUAGGUGGCUGAACCCUGGGCACAGGGAGCAGACAUAAGCAGCAAACUGUCAGUGUUGUUUUGUCUCAGAAAAUAAGGAAACCCAAUGAGAAGGAGAAAGAUGGGGGAACAGCUGGUUGGUAGAGCAGUCAGAACACACACAACAUUUAUUGAUUAAGUUUGCUGUCUUAUGUGGGCAAACCCCAAAACAACUGCGACAGUAACAUCAAAGGAAACUGAUUAUACAUGACCAUAAGAGGCAUAAUAAUAAUGAAAAAGCUUGAAAUAUCUUGAGAAUUACCAAAAUGUGACACAGAGACAAGAUGUGAGCACAUGCUGUUGAAAAUAUGGUGCCAAUAGACUUGCUUGACACUGGGUUGCCACAAACCUUCAAUUUGUAAUAAAUGCAACCUCUGCAAAGUACAGAAAAGCAAAGCACAAUAAACUGAUGCAUUCCUGUACUUAUGGGUAAUUGUAUUUUCAGAAAAUCGGCCUUUUGAAAAGAAAAUGUUUUAAAUGAAAUAUUUUGCAAGAAUUAUAGAGCCCAACAGUGGCUUCAGAAUAUCUUACUACUGUAGUUUAAAAAUAACUCCCUUUCCUUUCAAUUUGGUAAGCGUGUGACUUACAAACCUGUCACUCAAAAAAACUAAGAAUUGAGCUAAAACUCUAUUCUUCACUCAAUAAUGAGAAUGCAGCACUUACAUGUAUUUUCUUCCUGAAUAUUCCUUGACACUGUAUGUCUGGGAUGUGCACGUAUGUGUUAUGCAAUGUCUUUUGCCCUAAUGGCAUAUUAGCAGGAAGCAACCAUACCUGCCACCAAGCAAGUCUCCUAUUUCUGGUAUAAGUAUGAGGUCUUGGAGAAGAAAAUGUUGUGCCCUUCUAUUCCAGAAGCAAAAAACAAGGAAAUGAUGCAGAAGUCUCUUGGGGAGAGUAUCUGCCAAGUUUCCAUUUUAUUUCUUGGUAUGUAAACAAACAUUCGGUGUUCCCUCUAUAUAAAAUAAGAAAACCAUGGUAUAUAAUGAUGUUUCCUGUUUAUAUUGUGACUGUCAGAAUGGUUUUAUAAAUGCUCUUUUAUUGGGUCUUCACAAUAAAAGAAAAAAGCAAAAAAA